rnacentral:tRNA from 1 species
GGUAGCGUGGCCGAGUGGUUAAGGCGUUGGAUUUAAGUUCCCAAUGGAGCAAUCCGCGCGAGUUCGAACCUCGCCGCUACCA